ACAGAAGAGGAAAAUGUAGAGAGGAGGGAGUGAAAGGAUGCCAGGUCCGCAGGGAGGCGAGUUUUCCUCCAUUUCCGCUCGGCUGCCCGGAGCCCUGUUCUGUGAGCUCGCAAUGAGUCGUCGAGCCACGGAGCGGGAGGGGAGGACCGAGCCGGCCUGGAGGAUAGGGGACAUAGAGAGUCAAACACAAGUUUGUUGAAAAUAAACGCAGUUGACAGUGAGAGGACGUUUCUAUUUUUGCUGAGUUUAUUCAUUCGGACUUUUUGACGGUGAAAUUGGGUUCAUUUGGCAAAGUCACCUAUGCAAUACAGUAUUUUCCAAUGUUAUGACAGCCCAUUGAGGCGGACUUCUUUUGAUCUAUCCCAUUACCCUUUGAUACGAGAAAGAUCAGUGCAGGCGUAAUCGUCGCGCUAUAUGGCGUGUGUUUGAUGGCGUAAAGCGUGUCAGGCCUUGCAAAUGUAACUUCACCAGUACAUGUCUCAUUUACCCAAACAACUGGUUCUGAAUGUGGACGGGUACCCUGUUUCUGUUACUUUUUAUAGUUCUGCAUUGUGUACUUUAGCCUGUUAUAAUCAGGCAGUCUUUCUAAGUUCUUGCUUUAACUUAUCUUGCAAAGCCAUAGGCUCUACUGUCUUUCAUGCUCUCUCUCCAAACCAUUAAAACAUGUAGCACACAGCAGCCUAUUUGUUUUGUGUUAAAUCAGAAUUUGCCCAGCGGUCGCUUCUGCACCCAGAUUUAAAGACCAAACCCCAAGUAUUUAAAGAGGCGUAAUCUGUGUUCACACUUUUCACAUGUUUAUAUAAAGAGAAAUGAAAUCGCUCCUGGCCUGCUGCAUGCCUCUUCCUCCUGUCUUAUGUAUCUCACCCAUCAAUAUGAUUUAAGUGGUCUCUGUUGUAACUUGUUGCUCCUGGCCGCAAGGACUCUGGUAGAGGCUGUCUAGCUUCAAUAAACACAUCCUGCUGAGUUAUGCAACAUGUGCCGCAACAGCCAAGUGCACAAACAGUGGCUAGUGCCCAGGUGUUGCCGUAGUACUCUUUUCACUGUAUGAUUAAUGCUAAGGCUACAUAGGGUCAGAAUAAAAGGUUGAGUCAAGUGAAAUAUACAGUACAUAGACAUUCAUUUGUGUCUACAUAUCAAUUGCUAGAGGUACAACAAUGCUAUGGUUAGUCCUGUCUAUGAUUGCGUGUGCUGAGCAAGUUCUAUGUUCAGUUGCACUCAUUUGCCCAAAUCCUGUACCAACGUCAUACCUGUCCUGGACUGAUUUGAUGCAUUUAAGAACAUAAACUGUCAGUGUUUUUGUCAGUGGUGUGUUUUUGGUGCAGGUCCAAUGGAAGAAUACAACCGGGUUUUCUAGCUUUAUGGUAACACUUAACUUCGUCAUCGUCGCGUCUGAGGGAUGACUGGGCUACCUUUUCACGAGAGUUUGAUUCCAAAUCACCUCCGCUUCAUACUGGAAUCAGGGAUGGAUCCCUUUAGGGCUGACACAUUCUGGACAAGGAGAAUCCAUUUUUUUCCCAUCCUCGGGAAGCUUAACUCGAGGAAGAGUUGAUUCUAAGCAUGUGCAAUGUUCUCAAGUUUAACUUAUAUUUGCAUAAUUUUCCACAGGUGGAGGAGAUCAGUCCCAAGUACUCCAAAUUAAACUAUGUGUUUUUAGCCAAGUGCUACAGAGACCUGGGGCAAAAAAGUCAGGCCAGGAAGAUGUGUGAUGCUGCUACUUCAAUGGAAACCAUUUCCAAAGAGGAUGAGGAGGCACAGAAGGAGCUGGACACCCUUCUCUCUGCUCUAGGUGUUAAUUGAGGACAUUGUGGAAUGGCUCCAUCCUAUUGCAAGGGAGGAACCCAGGGACAGUUGGACCUAAAUCAAUCAAUGGUGUUGGUCCCAAUGGGAUAUACAUUAUCUACCACCUCACAUCAAUACAGUCAGAAAUUAAGUGUAGGGGACCAGGCAAUACAUUUUAUGAAGAUUUUAAUAAUUCUACUGAAGUUGUUUUCAAUACGAUUGAUCACCUGUAUCAACCCAAACAGAUAUAUCCAAAACAAAAACAUAAUCAUUUCAAACCUUGCUUACAUUUGUAUACAAUCACAUUAUCUCUAUUAUGCGUGGGAAUACUUGGGAACAGAUUUUCUCAAUUAAAAUGACUUGAAGCUGA